GAGCUACUCCCUCCGUUCGGAAUUACUUGUCAUAAAAAUGGAUAAAAAUGGAUGUAUCUACAACUAAAAUACAUCUAGAUACAUUCAGUUCUUGGACAAGUAAUUCCGAACGGAGGGAGUAGUAG
rfam:Triticum aestivum genome assembly, contig: Triticum_aestivum_CS42_TGACv1_scaffold_577175_7BL